UUAUGAGACUAAAAAAAAUUGAACGAUUUGUCAAAAAGUUAAGUUUCUUAAACUGGUUAAUUACAUCAUAAUUUCUAAUUGUAUAUAUUCUUUCAAGAACAUGCUUUGCCAUAUAUAUUGACUAAAAAUACUAGAAACGCCUAUUAAUAAAAUGAACAAUAUUUUUUUUACAUUAAAUAGAGUGUAGCUGGCGAGUGACGACGAAUGCAUACGCAAUUGAUUAUUGAAUCGGAGUCUAAAGAAGUUAGUAGACGAAGAAGCCGAUGUUUGCUAAGUUUGGUUCGUUUAUCCUUUUGGACGUUUGACUCGGUUGCAGGAUUUGCCUAGUUGAUGUUAGCUAGGCAUGACACUAGUUUUGCUUUUGGGCCUUUGUUUCAAACACAGACAAACAAUAAUAUUUGGGACCCAGCACGCCUAUUUUUGAAGAAAAAAAUAAGUUUCUUUUUUUUUUUGUUGGCCCAUAAUAGGAGGAGAAGAAGAAGAAAUUUGUGGUUGACUAUCCAUGAAAUGGGGAGAUGGUUUUCUAGAAAUGGUUUUCCAGAAAUGGUUUUCCAGUUUGGGAUAUGCAGACUUUUAUUAUUAACCAUGGAAUGUUGAAGAGCAAGAAACGUUGAAUAACUAUGCAGAUGAAAGAGUAAUUGGGAAAAAAGUUGCAGAGUUGAGGGAAAAGAAAAGAAGAAUAAAUAGAUAGAUAAAUGUGGCUUCCAGGUGCAAAGGAAUCAAUAAUUCAAGGUAGAGGAAAAGGAAAUGGAUUGGUGGCAGUUGCUGUAGAAAAAGAUAAAAAAGGGAGCAGACAGGCUCUCAAAUGGGCUGCUGACACGCUUCUUUCCAGAGGCCAAACUCUUGUUCUCAUCCACGUCUUGCACACAACCUCCUCACCUUUUACCAGUAAUUCACCAACCAACAUAAACAUGAAUAUAUGUAACUGUAAUAAUCAUUCAUUCAACCUACUUCUCACUUUUCAAAUGUAUACAUUAUUAGGAGGCAUGCGCAGCACCAACUGGCCAAUUACAUCUCCCAAGAAAGACAAACUAGUCAACGUUACAAAGGAUCUAUUUGAAACCUUUCAUUGUUAUUGUUCACGCAAAGAUAUACACUGUCUUGAUGUCGUUCUCCAAGAUAUGGAUGUGGUGAAAGGAAUAACUGAAUAUGUCUAUUAUGCUGCAAUUGAGAACUUGGUGGUUGGUGCAGCCUCUAGGCAUGGCUUUAUUAGAUUCAAGACAAGUACACCAAGCAGCAUAUUAAAGGGAGCCCCGGAUUUCUGUAGUGUGUAUGUCAUUUCUAAGGGGAGAAUAUCUUCAGUUAGGAGUGCUGCUCGAAGGGCUCCACAUGCCUCCCCACUGCAGAGGCAAAUAGAAACUCUAAAUGAUGAGAAUGGAAGUGAAUAUGAUACACCCUCCUGUAGACGGUUGAGCUUCAAAAGCAACAGGGUAUCACCCAAACCGAUAGGCUUGCAAAGUGAAUCCAUGAACAAGAUACAAUCAGGCAGAAGAUCAGGGACGAUUGGAAGGUUAUCCAUGGAUUUCGCCGAACAUGACUCUGACAUAUCAUUUGUAAGCUCUGACAGGCCCAGCAGUGUGCGUUCAUCCUCUGUUUUCUAUGACCAUGUUGAAUGUGCCAGAAAUGGCCGAACUUCAACCAGUUCAGACCAUAGCUGGGGGUCAACAUACAUGAAACCGAAGUUCACCGAGCCCUGUUCACCGGACCAAUUAUUUUCAGAGGAAAGUAGCCGCACAUCACUUUCCAGUUUGCAACACAAUGAAGAAGUGGAAGCUGAUGUGAGGAGGUUGAGGCUGGAGUUAAAGCAAACAAUGGAAAUGUACAGUAAUGCAUGCAAAGAGGCCCUAACAGCGCAGCAGAAGUUACUGGAACUGCACAACUGGAGAAUUGAGGAAGAAAAGAAACUAGAGGAUGCACGGGUAAACCAGGAAGCAGCAGAGGAAAUUGCAGAGAAAGAGAAAGAAAAAAGUAAAGCAGCUAAGGAAACAGCAGAAAUGGCAAAGAGACUUGCAAGGCUGGAAACAAAGAGAAGAGCAAACGUGGAAGGGAAAUAUCUGAAAGAAGCAGAGGAAAUGAGGAAAGCGUUGAAAAAUCUACAAGAGACAGAUAAAAGAUACAGGAAAUACACAUUGGAGGAGAUUGAAAAGGCAACAAACGAGUUUUCUGAAGCACAGAAAAUAGGGGAAGGGGGAUAUGGUCCCGUGUACAAGUGUUACCUCGAUCACACAGCAGUGGCAGUGAAGGUUCUGCGAGCAGGAUCAGCACAGGGGGAGACACAAUUUCAGCAAGAACUGAACAUACUCGGGACCAUAAGACAUCCCAACAUGGUGCUUCUGGUAGGAGCGUGUCCGGAAGAGGGAGUGCUGAUAUACGAAUACAUGGAGAAUGGAAGCUUGGAAGACUGUCUGUUCGGAAAGAAGGAGGAGAUGAUGAGUUGGGAGUUGAGGUUUGAAAUAGCGGCGGAGAUAGCGACGGGGCUGUUGUUCCUGCAUCAAACAAAGCCAGAACCGCUGGUGCACAGAGACCUGAAGCCCGCAAAUAUAUUGCUGGAUCACAACUAUGUGAGCAAGAUAAGCGACGUGGGACUGGCCAGGCUUCUGCCUGCAGCGGUGGCGGAGAACGAGACGCAGUGCCGAAUGACUGCCGCAGCAGGAACCUUCUGCUACAUCGAUCCCGAGUACCAGCAGACCGGAAUGCUGGGAGUUAAGUCGGAUGUGUAUUCUCUGGGAAUCGUUAUUCUUCAGCUAUUGACGGGAAGGCCCGCCAUGGGCCUGGCCCACCAGGUCGAACAAUCCAUCCAGAAGGAGACCUUUGCCCAGAUUCUGGACCCAUCCGUCCCGAACUGGCCCCUCACAGAGGCCCUCUCCCUUGCCAACUUGGCCCUCCAGUGCGCGCAGCUCAGCCGGAAGGACCGCCCUGACCUUGCCACCGUCCUCCUCCCUCAGCUCCAAAUUCUCAGAGACUUUGCCCGCCACCACCAUCAACAGCCUCCCCAGGAACAGGAAGUCCUCAGCGAGCCCAAUUCUCAACACUCCGGAAGCCCAUCCACCCCUUCCCCCUCGUCAACCCCAACAGAAGACCAACCCAUACAAGAUAAUACCACCUAGCCAAGUGUAUAAACGGUUUCUAAAUUGUUAGAAUUCAAUUUAGAUGAUAUUUCAUUAGGUUUCCAGAAGCCUUUGGGUGGAUUUUCAACUCUUUUUUACUUACUGUCUGGGACACAAGCAACCUUUUGGUUUUCUGCUGUGAUUAAAUUUGAUAAAUGAGCAGAAGACAUUUCAAGUUCAAGAGACAAUUUUGGACAAAGCUAGGAAGUGUUUGUUGCAGAUGUAUAUUUCGAUAUAUAUUUUCUUAUAUAAAACUUUGUUUUGUAUAAACUCUUUGCUGGAUAUAUUAUAACUGAAUUUUAUA